AUAACAAUGGAAGGCUGAUUUUGAAUUCAAAAUUGAAAAUGUCUAUGUGUCAAAAUGUGAAUCAUCAGAUUGCUUCAAUCCAAGGGCUAAAAAUGUCUCAUUCUCAUUUGUCCUACAAUGACAUUUCAAUGGUUGAGAUCAAUUACCAUCAACAUCUAAUGGUGCAAAAUGUAAAUCCCAAAAUAUCUCAAAAUGCAUCUCUCUCACACCUACUCCUCUCAUCUCAAAAUCUGUCUCUCCAUUCCAAAUUUCAAAAUUUGAACACAGACCCUCUCUCCCCUCUCUCUCUCUCUCUCUCUCUCUCUCUCUCUCCAAUUCUUUGUUUCCAUUUCUCACUCCGACCACUCCAACCAUUGUUCUCCUGCAGCUCGGUUGCCAUUGUUCACUCCGGCAGAUUGGUUUACUCUGACCGUCUAGCAUCGCAAGGUAGAGGCUUUGAAAUGUGCAUUAUCACUUGCAGCCUUGGUAAGAAUCUGGAGAAAUGAAGGCGUUACAGAUGAUAACAGGUUAAGUAUGACAUUGGAUGAAGUUAGUGUAUACCCCAUACCUGCAGCACUUUACCUCAUUAAAAAUUUGCUUCAGGUAAGUUGCAUUUCUUUUCUUUUUUUUCACAGGUGGCAGUGGCUUUGGCCUUCCUGAUUUCUUAAACAUGACUUUAUCUGGCAGUAUUACAUCUUUUCUUGUUUGUGUUUUUGUAUUUUCUUCUGUAUUUUGGUGCAUUGUUGCCAAUAAAAUCUCACAAAACCAUGCAAAGGGACUCAAGAUUCUGGGUUCAAAACAACACUUCAAGUUUUGCUUAAUGCUUCUUGAGGACUUUUCUAUAAAUUAGUUUAAGCAAUAUGAGAACUUUCUUUAAGGUAAUCCAAUGUCAACACUCAUUAACUUAGUUUAGAGUGCACAUUAUACAUAGAGGCAAAUUUAGAUAAACAAGACAAUAAGAUUGACAUAUUUUUAUAAGGAUAUUCAGGUGUUAAACCACCGAAGUAAUAAGAACUCAAUUGGUAGAAAAUUUAUAAAUUACUUGAGUAGUGUUAUUAUAUGAAUUAGUUUAACAAGUGUACAAUAGCUUUGAUUUUUUCUUAAUUGCAGAAUAGUAUUUCUUCCAUAAUGUUCACCAAUAUUACAAGUCAAAAUAGUGAAAUGUAGAGUAAAAACACAUAUAAAAGAAAUAUUAUAUAAAAAAACAUAUAAUGCAAAAUUUAGUAUCCAAAUGGGAAUCAACAGUGGUGGCGACAAAGUGGAACUGUGCUUUCCUUUCACUUUUUCCAGCAGGUUUCAAUAUUGUGUUUGUUACUCUAAAUCAGUAUUUGCAGAUAUAUACAAAUGUGUGUAUAUAUAUAUAUAUAUAUAUAUAUAUGUAAUUAUACAAUCGAUUUUAUUGAUGAAGGCACAAUCUUGAAUUUAUUUUUGUUGACUUUGGUCUUAAAGUAACUCCCAUAGUCCAUAUUGAAACACCUUCAGCCUUUUUCACAUAGUCCAUGUUUAGGAAUCUAUUAUGUUUUUCCUGUGUAUAAUACAAAUAUUACAAAUAGCCAAAUAAUUUUGAGAAAUAAAUAAAUUGAACCAACCUUAUCAACUAUGACAGUUGAUAGUGAUCACCUACGAAUCCUCCUUUUCCUUCUUUAACUCCAACGACACAAACCAAGUCAAAGAAAACAAUCUCAAAAGAAAGAAAAUAAAAUUGUAUGGGCAAAUUACACAUAUCUCA